GCGAUUCAAGUGCUACAGCUGAUUAUCUUUACAAAACUUGUGAUGGGGUUGAGUUUGAGAGAACAUCAAACAAAUUAGAUUUGAGGUUUAUUCCAGAUUCCAUGGAAUUCAAGCAUCAACCACGUGACAUUGCAACAGAGGCCCCUGCAGAUUAUGAAGGUCUAGAUUUUCACACUCGAGCUUUGCAGCAUAGCAAUAUUGAACUUACAUGGGAUGAGGAUGAGCCACAACGCAUCAGGACCUUGAAG
rnacentral:misc_RNA from 1 species